UACGUAGGGUGCGAGCGUUGUCCGGAAUUAUUGGGCGUAAAGGGCUCGUAGGCGGUCUGUUGCGUCGGGUGUGAAAACUCAGGGCUUAACCCUGAGCCUGCUUCCGAUACGGGCAGACUAGAGGUAUGCAGGGGAGAACGGAAUUCCUGGUGUAGCGGUGAAAUGCGUAGAUAUCCGGAGGAACACCGGUGGCGAAGGCGGCUUCCUGGACCGACACUGACGCUGAGGCGCGAAAGCUAGGGGAGCAAACGGG
rnacentral:rRNA from 1 species